rnacentral:rRNA from 1 species
AACGAACGCUGGCGGCAUGCCUAACACAUGCAAGUCGAACGAUUGCCUUCGGGUGAUAGUGGCGCACGGGUGCGUAACGCGUGGGAAUCUGCCCUUAGGUUCGGAAUAACAGCUGGAAACGGCUGCUAAUACCGGAUGAUAUCGCGAGAUCAAAGAUUUAUCGCCUGAGGAUGAGCCCGCGUUGGAUUAGGUAGUUGGUGGGGUAAAGGCCUACCAAGCCGACGAUCCAUAGCUGGUCUGAGAGGAUGAUCAGCCACACUGGGACUGAGACACGGCCCAGACUCCUACGGGAGGCAGCAGUGGGGAAUAUUGGACAAUGGGCGCAAGCCUGAUCCAGCAAGGCCGCGUGAGUGAUGAAGGCCCGAGGGUUGUAAAGCUCUUUUACCCGGGAAGAUAAUGACUGUACCGGGAGAAUAAGCCCCGGCUAACUCCGUG